AUACGGAGGAUGCGAGCGUUAUCCGGAUUUAUUGGGUUUAAAGGGAGCGUAGGUGGGAUAUUAAGUCAGCUGUGGAAGUUUGGGGCUCAACCUUAAAAUUGCAGUUGAUACUGGUUUCCUUGAGUACGGUACAGGUGGGCGGAAUUCGUGGUGUAGCGGUGAAAUGCUUAGAUAUCACGAAGAACUCCGAUCGCGAAGGCAGCUCACCGGGCCGGAACUGACACUGAUGCUCGAAAGUGCGGGUAUCAAACAGGAUUAGAUACCCUGGUAGUCCGCACAGUAAACGAUGAAUACUCGCUGUUUGCGAUACACUGUAAGCGGCCAAGCGAAAGCGUUAAGUAUUCCACCUGGGGAGUACGCCGGCAACGGUGAAACUCAAAUGAAUUGACGGGG
rnacentral:rRNA from 1 species